rnacentral:misc_RNA from 1 species
CUAAGUCUGUAAAUAUUGAAGAUAUCAAGGAAUUUUCUUAUAUGCCCUCAAAGCCAAGUGAUGUAUACUCCAUUUUAGAAGAAGUUAAACAAUUAGAAGCUGACAAGAGGAUGGUUGAACAAUGCAGUAAGUACAGUCCUGUAAGUGGUGUUUCCACUAUCCAGACUGAACAGACUGCUAGUUCAGUGGCAAAACAAUGUAAUAACCAGCAUUUGCUGAAUUAUUCAAAUGGCUCUAUUGCCAACAACAGUCAAUUUGAAGAAUAUGCAAAAGCUUGGGAAUCCCAUUCUGAGGAAGAAGUUUCAAGUUAUUCCCUUGAAG